rnacentral:rRNA from 1 species
AGUUUGGNNNAUGGCUCAGGACGAACGCUGGCGGCGUGCUUAACACAUGCAAGUCGAACGAUGAAGCCUUUCGGGGUGGAUUAGUGGCGAACGGGUGAGUAACACGUGGGCAAUCUGCCCUUCACUCUGGGACAAGCCCUGGAAACGGGGUCUAAUACCGGAUAACACUCUGUCCCUCAUGGGGCGGAGUUAAAAGCUCCGGCGGUGAAGGAUGAGCCCGCGGCCUAUCAGCUUGUUGGUGGGGUAAUGGCCUACCAAGGCGACGACGGGUAGCCGGCCUGAGAGGGCGACCGGCCACACUGGGACUGAGACACGGCCCAGACUCCUACGGGAGGCAGCAGUGGGGAAUAUUGCACAAUGGGCGAAAGCCUGAUGCAGCGACGCCGCGUGAGGGAUGACGGCCUUCGGGUUGUAAACCUCUUUCAGCAG